rnacentral:rRNA from 1 species
GACGAACGCUGGCGGCGUGCUUAACACAUGCAAGUCGAACGGAAAGGCCCUGCUUUUGUGGGGUGCUCGAGUGGCGAACGGGUGAGUAACACGUGAGUAACCUGCCCUUGACUUUGGGAUAACUUCAGGAAACUGGGGCUAAUACCGGAUAGGAGCUCCUGCUGCAUGGUGGGGGUUGGAAAGUUUCGGCGGUUGGGGAUGGACUGGCGGCUUAUCAGCUUGUUGGUGGGGUAGUGGCUUACCAAGGCUUUGACGGGUAGCCGGCCUGGGAGGGUGAACGGCCACAAUGGUACUGAGGGACGGACCAGAGUGGUACGGGAGGCAGCAGGGGGGAAUAUUGCACAAUGGGCGGAAGCCUGAUGCAGCAACGCCGCGUGCGGGAUGACGGCCUUCGGGGUGUAAACCGCUUUCGCCUGUGACGAAGCGUGAGUGACGGUAAUGGGUAAAGAAGCACCGGCUAACUACGUG